ensembl:lncRNA
UUGGAAGGGGGUGUGUGGGUGUGUAUGGGUGUGUAAGGGGGUGUGUGGGUGGGUGUGUGGGUGUGCAUGGGUGUGUAAAGCUGUGAGUGGGUGUGUGUGGGUGUGUGUGGGUGUGUAUGGGUGUGUAUGGGUGUGUGUGGGUGUGUAUGGGUGUGUACGGUUGUGUAUGGGUUUGUAAAGGGGUGGAUGGGUGUGUAUGGGUGUGUAAGGUGUGUGUGGGUGAGUGUGGGUGUGUAAGGGUGUGUGGAGGUUCGUGUGGGCGUGUAUGGGUGUGUAAAGCUGUGUGUGGGUUUGUAAGGUGUGUAUGGGUGUGCAAGGGGGCGUAUGGGUGUGUAAGGAGGUGUAAGGGGGUGUAUGGGUGUGUAUGGCUGUAUGUGGGUGUGUGUGGGUGUGUAUGGGGGAGUAUGGGUGUGUGUGGGUGUGUAUGGGUGUGUGUGGGUGUGUAUGGGUGUAUAAGGGUGUGUAAGGUGUGUAUGGGUGUGUAAGGUGUGUGUGUGUGUGUGUAAGGUGUGUAAGGUGUGUAAGGUCGCCCCCCCCCCCCAAUUGGGUCAUUCGGUGCCGUCGGCACCGCUGCGGUUUUUUGUC